AGGAGCGUCGAUCAACGGUAGGUCUUCAGUCUCCAAAACUGAAUAUGAGAGUUCGAUUCUCUCCGCUCCUGCCA
rnacentral:tRNA from 1 species